GAUGAACGCUAGCUACAGGCUUAACACAUGCAAGUCGAGGGGCAGCAUGAACUUAGCUUGCUAAGUUUGAUGGCGACCGGCGCACGGGUGAGUAACACGUAUCCAACCUGCCGAUGACUCGGGGAUAGCCUUUCGAAAGAAAGAUUAAUACCCGAUGGCAUAGUUCUUCCGCAUGGUAGAACUAUUAAAGAAUUUCGGUCAUCGAUGGGGAUGCGUUCCAUUAGGUUGUUGGCGGGGUAACGGCCCACCAAGCCUUCGAUGGAUAGGGGUUCUGAGAGGAAGGUCCCCCACAUUGGAACUGAGACACGGUCCAAACUCCUACGGGAGGCAGCAGUGAGGAAUAUUGGUCAAUGGACGAGAGUCUGAACCAGCCAAGUAGCGUGAAGGAUGACUGCCCUAUGGGUUGUAAACUUCUUUUAUACGGGAAUAAAGUGAGGCACGUGUGCCUUUUUGUAUGUACCGUAUGAAUAAGGAUCGGCUAACUCCGUGCCAGCAGCCGCGGUAAUACGGAGGAUCCGAGCGUUAUCCGGAUUUAUUGGGUUUAAAGGGAGCGUAGGCGGACGCUUAAGUCAGUUGUGAAAGUUUGCGGCUCAACCGUAAAAUUGCAGUUGAUACUGGGUGUCUUGAGUACAGUAGAGGCAGGCGGAAUUCGUGGUGUAGCGGUGAAAUGCUUAGAUAUCACGAAGAACUCCGAUUGCGAAGGCAGCCUGCUGGACUGUAACUGACGCUGAUGCUCGAAAGUGUGGGUAUCAAACAGGAUUAGAUACCCUGGUAGUCCACACAGUAAACGAUGAAUACUCGCUGUUUGCGAUAUACAGUAAGCGGCCAAGCGAAAGCGUUAAGUAUUCCACCUGGGGAGUACGCCGGCAACGGUGAAACUCAAAGGAAUUGACGGGGGCCCGCACAAGCGGAGGAACAUGUGGUUUAAUUCGAUGAUACGCGAGGAACCUUACCCGGGCUUGAAUUGCAACUGAAUGAUGUGGAGACAUGUCAGCCGCAAGGCAGUUGUGAAGGUGCUGCAUGGUUGUCGUCAGCUCGUGCCGUGAGGUGUCGGCUUAAGUGCCAUAACGAGCGCAACCCUUAUCGAUAGUUACCAUCAGGUUAUGCUGGGGACUCUGUCGAGACUGCCGUCGUAAGAUGUGAGGAAGGUGGGGAUGACGUCAAAUCAGCACGGCCCUUACGUCCGGGGCUACACACGUGUUACAAUGGGGGGUACAGAAGGCAGCUACGCGGCGACGUGAUGCUAAUUCCCGAAAAGCCUCUCUCAGUUCGGAUUGGAAGUUCUGCAACCCCGA
rnacentral:rRNA from 1 species